GGGUUUUUUUUUUCUUUUUAAACCCCUUACCGACUCCACUACCUAUUAUUGCGCCCCUAGUCACCCCCAAAUGCCCCAUGUUACCUGUUCUUUUAAAUCUUUGUGUCCGGAUCUAGGACCUGGACGCCUCCAUCUUUGUGUGGGCAAAGAUGAAGGCCCUGUGGGACAUGUCCUUUGCCCACACUAAAUAGCGCUAUGAAAUUCCCACGCAUACAGAGUUAAACACUUGGGCAUUCACUAUUGUCCUAAAUUCGGAAGGGAAUUUUGUCUGUUCAUUCAUCAGAAAGUCGAAGGAAUAGAAAUUUCAGACAAACGGUGUUCGUUUAUUACAAGGAGGGAGCCCUUCCCCCUUUAAUAAAUGUCCCUUAUGGUGGGGCAUCUAUUAACUAGCGGGGGGGGACAUAGUGUCCCCCAUGAGCGGCGGGUGGGG